UCGGUGUAAAACCCAGUGUAAACACACGCCUUCUCCCCCACCUCAACAGACUCAAGUUGCAUGUUCCACGUGGCGCCCCGGAUCCCCUCCACGCCCCAGCUCAGCCCACCACUCCCCGCCCUUUCCAGAAACAUGAGGCCCAUCCCCGCCUCCAGCUGGCCCCUCACAUGGGCUGUUUCCCAGCCAGGAUGUCCUCUCCACCAAGCCAGCCCGCACUGCUGAGAAGCUCUCAGGGAUCAGCCCCUCCCUCCUUUGUGCUCUCACAAAACGAGUUCAUUCCCCGUGAGUUAAGAUUUCCUGCACGUCUGCGGCGUGCCGGGCGCUGGGGGAGGAAGGUGCUUUGUGCUCGGCAUCAAGGUGGAUUUCAUCUGCAGGCGAGUCUGCCUUUCACCCGGGCUGAGCUCUGGGGGGGUUGGGAUACCCCCCUUCCCCGCCCAAUGCCUACCUGCCCAGGUGCCAGGCUCCAGGUCGGCAGGACUCUGGCUGUGCACCACUCAGCACGGGCGGCGGGGGCCCUGGCAGGGGAGACCUGGGGGCACAGCGUGGAAGGGGCAGUGGCCAGGGGGUCAGUAACAUGCUGCACCCCCCCAACACAGAACACACACCCGGAAGAGGAAGCGAGGGGCUGAGGCUGAGCAGGUGGGGAGGGCGUCUUCCUGCUGAGGGAACAAUCAGCCCGCGCCCACCCCCCACCCCGAGACAGAACUGGCAGGGGGCGGCCAGAGCAGCGGGGGCCACGCAAAGGCCGAGAUGGCAGGGUGGAGGGGGGCGGCUGGCACGCUUGCUGAAGAGUUCAGCCUUCUCCCUGGGAGCUGGGAGCCGUGGGAACGGGGAAGGGCUGUUGGCAGAAGAACAAGGGGGCUGGCUUUGCAUUUCAGGAGGUGGAAGGAAGGCUGGCUGCUGGGAGGGCACACGAUGGGCCCGAGGGCUGGUGAGGAACCUGUGAAUGCUGCCCGCCCCCAGCCGUGGCCACCGCGCCCAGCGAAGCUGCCCCCUCGGCUGCUCCCGCAGGGAGGAGAGUGCUCAGGGCACCCCAGGGCCCCAGGGCAGGGGGCGGCCUCGGAUGGGGCCCUUGGGGAGCAGGAGGGUGGGGGCGUCUGCGAGUGGAGUGAGCCCAGAGGGCAGGGGGAGGCCCUGGGCAGCAGGCAGCCGGCCUGCUGGGACCCCCGGCUCUGCCCGUCCCCCGCCCAUGCUGCAGAACCAGCUGGGGUGUCUGGGGAGGAAGAGGCCGCUGAGCCCACAGGCAGAAGGCCCCCAGCCGAGGGUCCUGGCCAUCCUGCCCAGUGACCUAGCGGGGCCCAGCUACCCUAUCCGUAAGAAGGGGUUCUCCUGGGGUUCUCAAGGCAAGAAUACCAGAGUGCUUUGCCAUUCCCUGCUCCAGUGGACCGCGUUUUGUCAGGCCCCGACUAGCAAGGACGUGUCCUCCAGCCGCUCCACGUGGCAUGCCUGGCGCCCUGGGUGUCCCGGUGCUGGUCCUCAUUGAGUCAGGAAAACUUCACCAGCAGCCCCAGAGAUCGGGGCACAGGUGCUGCUGGAGUCGCUGUGUCUCUGGGUGGCCGUCAGCCUGGCCUGCACGGGCCUGUGCCAGCCAGGGUUGCUCUCUGAGGCCGUGAUGGUGUCGAUUCUGGACACACGCAUGGAGCACCUAUCCCAGACACGUCGCCAUCCCACUGUGUGUGGCUAUCCUGUGAUAGGGCGUCAUCGUGGAAGCUGUGGCCUUGCUCCUUGCCUGACGCCGCCCACCAGGCCCUCCAGGAGGGAUGGGGCAGGCGGGGCAGGAGGGGCAGGUGUGGGUGACUUUGGUUCUGAGGCUCCAGGAGCCAGGGAGGGCCCAUGAGAGACAGGCACGGCCCCACCCUCCGCAGGGACCCGGCGGUGGGGGAUGCUCCCGGCACAUGGAUGAGUGCCCCUCCUGUCCGAGCUCUUGGUGGCUGGAAAGGUGGGGGGCCCUCCUCCCGUGAGCCCAGGCUGGAGUUACAUGUCCCUGGGGAGUGGGCAGCCUCCAGGGCUCCCCAGGAGAGGCACUUGUCCUGGGGACGUGGGAGGAGACUGGCUCACCGUGAGUCCCCAGGCCCCACCCUGGCAGAGAAACAGGCCUCCCCAUGUGUGUGGGAAAAAGCUCUGUCCAGCCCAGCUUUGAAUAUGGGGACCCAGGUCCCCCUCCUGCCCCGCGCCACAUGGAAGCCAGUGGCCUCCGUCUACCAGGCAAGGCAGAGACCUCCCAGCCGUGGGGCAGCCCUCCCUCCACCAGUGACUUGAGCUGGUCCCUGGAGGCGUGUGGGGGGGGACCCAGGUUACAGGGAGGGGAGGAGACUCGGCCAAACUCUGAAUAGCCCCUUCCAGCAGACCCCUGGGACCCCCGGAGAGCUACAGCCUUCUGCAGCCUCGGAGGCCGAGGCUUGGAGAGCUGCCGGGCGGGCGGGCGGGCGGGCGGGCGGGGGUAGGGUCUCUGCUCUUGGAGAGGGGAGAGUGUCACCAGGCUGGGAGCAGCUGGCGGGUCCGGACCGGGAAGUGCGGUCAGCCCGCCCACGGCCCCAGGCAGGGGUGGGGGCCUGGGGUGGCGGCGGUGAACUCUGGUUCUGCCCGCCCGCCCUGCUGGGCUGCUUUCAAAGUCCAGGGCCUUGUGAGCCAGGCGCAGUCCGUUUCCCGUUGGAUCCCAGCCCAUGAGGUGGGGGUGGGGUGGCAGAGAGCCCCCCUGCUCCUGGAGAGGGAGGGAAGUGUGGGAGGCUGCCAGGAGCAGCCUGCGUGCACCUCAGCCUCCAGAUCCCCCUCUCCCAGCUGCUCCCUGAGGCCCCCAGCGGGGAGAGGAACAUACCAGCUGACCGAGGACCAUCCCGCUGAGCAGCGGGACUUGGCGAAGUCCUUCCCCAUUUUGGAAAGUCCACCGAAUCCAGACCGUCCUAGCCGUGGCCCUGCACGCACACCCCGACCUGUCCUGCUCGUCCUGUCCUGCCCGCCCCUCGGCACUGGGACUGGCUUUGGGUAACGGAGCAUCAUGAUGGCGGACACAAGCAGACCAGGCCUCAGGACUCUGGCUUGCACCCUCUGGCCUCCCUGAGACUCCAGGCAGAUGCUUUACCACUGAGCCACCUGGGAAGCCCCGCUAAGAGAGGGUGGCCAUCUGCCUCCUGCAAGGAUUCAGAUUCAGUGAGACUCUGAAGGUGUUUGUACAAAUGCGUGUGCGCACGCACAGUCAGCCUCUCCUUCAAGCAAGGAGGCCUCCUGAACACAGCUCCUGCAUUCUUCCUGGGUCAAGGUUGUGGCCUGGAGCCUGAGCCUCGCAGCGGCAAGAAGGGGAAGCUGGGCUUGCUGAGCUCUGAGCCCCUGAAGGCAACAGGGCUUCCCCAAGGCCUCAGAGUGGGUGGGCAGAGCCUGGAACGAGCCCACCCUGGGGAGGGGCCUCUGCGCGUCCUUUUCACCCAGCGCCAGUCUCUUCAUGUCGCUCCGGGGCUACCUCCCCGCCAGGGGCGGCUUCCGGUCUGCCUUGGGCUUGGGCCGCAGAGACCAGCCUUGUGAGUACUGUGUAUGAAGUGAGAGCAAAUAGGCGCUGAGCGAGAGACCGUGGUGGGGCCGUGCCGGGCCUUGCACCGCAUCCCUGGCCCCUCUGAGGCCACCCCUGCUGAUUUCCUGGCUCCCAGAGGCCCCCUGGAUAAGCAAGGCGGCUGGCUGGGGGUGCUGGGCAAAUCUGAGGUGUGCACCUGUCGUUCUGGCUGGCGGGCUGGCUCCGUGGCAUCCUUCCCAGCCUCCAGAGCCACAGGGCACCUCCGCCGCAGCCAGCUUGACAGCAGCACUCCUGCGGCUCUGCUGUGGCCAGCGGACUGUGGGGACCAGGCGCUGGGCUGGCUGAGCGUCCGGGCGGGGGCUGGGGAAACCCGGCCUCGCACUCUCUCCUCUCCCCGCCUGCUCUCAUGGAAAAUAUGAACUGUGCUGGACGGGCUCCAAACGCAGGGGAUUCCAUUGUUCUGGCUUCCGCCCCGGCGUCUGGGGACCCAGCCCCUGCCUGGCCUUUCUCCCGGCGCCUCCAGGUCUUGGGACAAACCGUUCAAGAGCCUCAACCCUGCCACCUUCCUGGCCUGGGAUACAGACCCUGGGGAGCUUCUGGCCGGGAUGGCCUCCUCCUCAGCUCCAGAUGCUCCUUCUAAGCAGCUCAGCCCUCAGGGUGCUCUCUGCAGACUUUCUCCCCACCGGCUUCCCUCACAAGCUCUACUUCCUGGGGAGGGGAGGGGGGAGGGGAGGGGAG
ensembl:lncRNA